rnacentral:rRNA from 1 species
GACGAACGCUGGCGGCGUGCUUAACACAUGCAAGUCGAACGAUGAAGCCUAGCUUGCUAGGUGGAUUAGUGGCGAACGGGUGAGUAAUACGUGAGUAACCUACCUUUAACACUGGGAUAAGCUCGGGAAACUGGGUUUACUAUCGGACACGACCAAUCCCCGCAUGGGGUGUUGGUGGAAAGCGUUACGUAGUGGUUAUAGAUGGGCCCACGGCCUAUCAGCUUGUUGGGGGGGUAACGGCCCCCCAAGGCGACGACGGGUAGCCGGCCUGAGAGGGGGGCCGGCCACACUGGGACUGAGACACGGCCCAGACUCCUACGGGAGGCAGCAGGGGGGAAUAUUGCACAAUGGGCGCAAGCCUGAUGCAGCGACGCCGCGUGAGGGAUGACGGCCUUCGGGUUGUAAACCUCUGUUAGCAGGGAAGAAGAUGGAUUGACGGUACCUGCAGAGAAAGCGCCGGCUAACUACGUG